rnacentral:lncRNA from 1 species
UUUUUCGUUCAAAUUCUCUCCUGCUCCCGUCACCGACUCACCGUGUGCCGCCUGACCUUCCUCCACUCCGCCGCCGGUCACUUCUUUUUCUGAAGUCUCAAACUCCGUGACUCUGUAAUUCAUCUGUGUUGCUGUGUCGUGCCGUGCGUCCCUGUUUGUUCAACCGUGAGGUGCCAGGCUCUGAUUGGUAAUUGGUAAAGGUGAAGCUCUGAUUUCCAUCCCAAU